UACGGGGGGGGCAAGCGUUGUUCGGAAUUACUGGGCGUAAAGGGCUCGUAGGCGGCCAUCUAAGUCAGACGUGAAAUCCCCCGGCUUAACCUGGGAACUGCGUCUGAUACUGGACGGCUUGAGUAUGGGAGAGGGAUGUAGAAUUCCAGGUGUAGCGGUGAAAUGCGUAGAUAUCUGGAGGAAUACCGGUGGCGAAGGCGGCAUCCUGGACCAUUACUGACGCUGAGGCGCGAAAGCUAGGGGAGCAAACGGG
rnacentral:rRNA from 1 species